rnacentral:rRNA from 1 species
AACGAACGCUGGCGGCAGGCCUAACACAUGCAAGUCGAGCGAGGACUUCGGUCCUAGCGGCGGACGGGUGAGUAACGCGUGGGAACGUGCCCUUUGCUUCGGAAUAGCCCUGGGAAACUGGGAGUAAUACCGGAUGACCCCCUUGGGGGAAAGAUUUAUCGGCGAAGGAUCGGCCCGCGUUGGAUUAGGUAGUUGGUGGGGUAAUGGCCUACCAAGCCGACGAUCCAUAGCUGGUUUGAGAGGAUGAUCAGCCACACUGGGACUGAGACACGGCCCAGACUCCUACGGGAGGCAGCAGUGGGGAAUCUUAGACAAUGGGGGAAGUCCUGAUCUAGCCAUGCCGCGUAAGCGAUGAAGGCCUUAGAGUUGUAAAGCUCUUUCAGCUGGGAAGAUAAUGACGGUACCAGCAGAAGAAGCCCCGGCUAACUCCGUG